rnacentral:rRNA from 1 species
GUGGCUACUGAUUGCUUAUUGCACCACAUGUGUUUUUCUUUGAAACAAACUUGCUUUGGCGGUGGGCCCAGCCUGCCGCCAGAGGUCUAAACUUACAACCAAUUUUUUAUUAACUUGUCACACCAGAUUAUUACUAAAUAGUCAAAACUUUCAACAACGGAUCUCUUGGUUCUCGCAUCGAUGAAGAACGCAGCGAAAUGCGAUACGUAAUAUGAAUUGCAGAUAUUCGUGAAUCAUCGAAUCUUUGAACGCACAUUGCGCCCUCUGGUAUUCCGGAGGGCAUGCCUGUUUGAGCGUCGUUUCUCCCUCAAACCGCUGGGUUUGGUGUUGAGCAAUACGACUUGGGUUUGCUUGAAAGACGGUAGUGGUAAGGCGGGAUCGCUUUGACAAUGGCUUAGGUCUAACCAAAAACAUUGCUUGCGGCGGUAACGUCUACCACGUAUAUCUUCAAACUUUGACCUCAAAUCAGGUAGGACUACCCGCUGAACUUAAGCAUAUCAAAAGGCGGAGGAA